rnacentral:rRNA from 1 species
GGAUAACCUACCCUUAGGACUGGGAUAACCCUGGGAAACUGGGGAUAAUACUAGAUAGGCAAUUUUUCCUGGAAUGGUUUUUUGUUUAAAUGUUUUUUCGCCUAAGGAUGGGUCUGCGGCCGAUUAGGUAGUUGGUUAGGUAACGGCUUACCAAGCCAUUGAUCUGUACGGGUUGUGAGAGCAAGAGCCCGGAGAUGGAACCUGAGACAAGGUUCCAGGCCCUACGGGGUGCAGCAGGCGCGAAACCUCCGCAAUGUGAGAAAUCGCGACGGGGGGAUCCCAAGUGCCAUUCUUAACGGGAUGGCUUUUCAUUAGUGUAAAGAGCUUUUGGAAUAAGAGCUGGGCAAGACCGGUGCCAGCCGCCGCGGUAACACCGGCAGCUCUGGUGGUAGCUACUUUUAUUGGGCCUAAAGCGUUCGUAGCCGGUUUGAUAAGUCACUGGUGAAAUCCUAUAGCUUAACUGUGGGAAUUGCUGGUGAUACUGUUGAACUUGAGGUCGGGAGAGGUUAGCGGUACUCCCAGGGUAGAGGUGAAAUUCUGUAAUCCUGGGAGGACCACCUGUGGCGAAGGCGGCUAACUGGAACGAACCUGACGGUGAGGGACGAAAGCCAGGGGCGCGAACCGGAUUAGAUACCCGGGUAGUCCUGGCCGUAAACGAUGCGGACUUGGUGUUGGGAUGGCUUUGAGCCGCUCCGGUGCCGAAGGGAAGCUGUUAAGUCCGCCGCCUGGGAAG